UACGGAGGGUGCAAGCGUUAUCCGGAUUCACUGGGUUUAAAGGGUGCGUAGGUGGGCAGGUAAGUCAGUGGUGAAAUCUCCGGGCUUAACUCGGAAACUGCCAUUGAUACUAUCUGUCUUGAAUACCGUGGAGGUUAGCGGAAUAUGUCAUGUAGCGGUGAAAUGCUUAGAUAUGACAUAGAACACCAAUUGCGAAGGCAGCUGGCUACACGAAUAUUGACACUGAUGCACGAAAGCGUGGGGGAUCAAACAGGA
rnacentral:rRNA from 1 species